CCUCCCUCCCUCCCUUCCUUCCUUUCUUCAGUCUGGCCUGCAAUUUUUUUAUCCUCCUGCCUCCUGGAUGCUGGAAUUGCAGGCAUAUGACACUAUAUAAGGAACUCCCAGCCAAUGAAGACCUGCCCGACGGCAACCUCUGGAUGAUCUGGAAAGAAAAUGGGCCAUACCUCCUUGAGUACACUGGAUCCAACUUGUUUCAUUUCAACCAGAACUUCAGGUACUGACUUCAAUCAACACGAGAACUUCAAUCAAGGACUUCAACCUGGACCUUCAAUCAAGCAUCUCCCACCAGACACUGACUGGAUAUAACCCAUUCAGGACUUUUAUUACACUAACAUUUCUUCCCACAGGACCCUACAAGGCUGUCAUCCUCCCAGUUCAGCAGGAAGUAGCAUGGAAAAUGCUACUUUCCCCCUUUCCCCACUGUUGACACCUAUUUAGAGCUAGUUUCCAAUUGUUUAAGGUUGGGCUUGGUAGGAGGUGUUCAAGCUUGGACAUCUCUUUCAGAUGACUUUAAGGUUUAGUUGGAAUAGUUAUAGUUAAGAUGUGACAUCAGUAGAUUAUUAUAACUUCUUGUAAUUCACCCUUAUGAUUGUUAAAGAUAGAUAAUUUGGUGGGAUUCUAGGUGUGUGCCAGAAUUACUCCAGUGUAGGGAGACACUGUAGCCCCACCUCCUAGUAGCCUGGACAGGUGUGCUGGGACACGCCCUUAAGGGCGUGGUUAGGGGAAGUCUAAGGUGACGCAGGGAGGGUUCUUAAGGGACUGAGCACACAUGGGGACUCUUUUCCCUUCUUCCUUCUCUCCUGCCUGGCAAGUUUUGGCUUGCACCUGGCUGGUGUUAUCUGAAUAAAGAAAACCUUA
rnacentral:lncRNA from 1 species